AGUGAACGCUGGCGGUAGGCCUAACACAUGCAAGUCGAACGGCAGCACAGUAAGAGCUUGCUCUUACGGGUGGCGAGUGGCGGACGGGUGAGGAAUACAUCGGAAUCUACUUUUUCGUGGGGGAUAACGUAGGGAAACUUACGCUAAUACCGCAUACGACCUACGGGUGAAAGCAGGGGAUCUUCGGACCUUGCGCGAUUGAAUGAGCCGAUGUCGGAUUAGCUAGUUGGCGGGGUAAAGGCCCACCAAGGCGACGAUCCGUAGCUGGUCUGAGAGGAUGAUCAGCCACACUGGAACUGAGACACGGUCCAGACUCCUACGGGAGGCAGCAGUGUGGAAUAUUGGACAAUGGGCGCAAGCCUGAUCCAGCCAUACCGCGUGGGUGAAGAAGGCCUUCGGGUUGUAAAGCCCUUUUGUUGGGAAAGAAAAGCAGCAGGUUAAUACCCCGCUGUUCUGACGGUACCCAAAGAAUAAGCACCGGCUAACUUCGU
rnacentral:rRNA from 1 species